rnacentral:siRNA from 1 species
GUAGAAUCUUUGGGUGUUGAGAGU